UCCAUCUUGGAAGUCUGACCACCGGGAACUGAGGAGCACGGACGUUGGUGAGAAGUGAGAGGAAUCGCCUGAGUUCUGCCAGGCGUAAAGGCGAGGUUCUUGAGGCAGAAAGCCUGGCUUCCAUCUUGGAGUCUGGGAACAGAGAUACCAGAGUUGAGGCGGUGUGGACUCAGUGAAGAAAGGUUCCUAGACAUCUCGCCUGCACCACCAGCUUCACCAGCUGCCACCUGCCUGCUUACCCCAGCCCCAGUCAUCAUGUCUCAUAUCCCAAAGAGUCAGGGCCUGGAGAUCCCAGGGGCCCGGAAGACCGAAGAAAGUGCACAGAGCUGGCUGGACACCAUGGUGUCCUCAGCUGAAGAGGAGGAGAAGGGCACAUUCUUU